GACGAACGCUGGCGGCGUGCUUAACACAUGCAAGUCGAACGGAAAGGCCCUGCUUUUGUGGGGUGCUCGAGUGGCGACCGGGUGAGUAACACGUGAGUAACCUGCCCUUGACUUUGGGAUAACUUCAGGAAACUGGGGCUAAUACCGGAUAGGAGCUCCUGCUGCAUGGUGGGGGUUGGAAAGUUUCGGCGGUUGGGGAUGGACUCGCGGCUUAUCAGCUUGUUGGUGGGGUAGUGGCUUACCAAGGCUUGGACGGGUAGCCGGCCUGAGAGGGGGACCGGCCACAUUGGGACGGAGAUACGGCCCAGACUCCAACGGGACGCAGCGGAGGGGAAUAUUGCACAAGGGGCGGAAGCCUGAUGCAGCAACGCCGCGCGGGGGAUGACGGCCAUCGGGUAGUAAACCGCUUUCGCCUGUGACGAAGCGUGAGUGACGGUAAUGGGUAAAGAAGCACCGGCUAACUACGUG
rnacentral:rRNA from 1 species